rnacentral:rRNA from 1 species
GACGAACGCUGGCGGCGUGCCUAACACAUGCAAGUCGAACGGAAAGGCCUCUUUCGGGGGGUACUCGAGUGGCGAACGGGUGAGUAACACGUGAGUAACCUGCCCUUGACUUUGGGAUAACUUCAGGAAACUGGGGCUAAUACCGGAUAGGAGCUCCUGCUGCAUGGUGGGGGUUGGAAAGUUUCGGCGGUUGGGGAUGGACUCGCGGCUUAUCAGCUUGUUGGUGGGGUAGUGGCUUACCAAGGCUUUGACGGGUAGCCGGCCUGAGAGGGUGACCGGCCACAUUGGGACUGAGAUACGGCCCAGACUCCUACGGGAGGCAGCAGUGGGGAAUAUUGCACAAUGGGUGGAAGCCUGAUGCAGCAACGCCGGGUGCGGGAUGACGGCCUUCGGGUUGUAAACCGCUUUCGCUCAUGACGAAGCUUUGUGUGACGGUAGUGGGUAAAGAAGCACCGGCUAACUACGUG